GAUGAACGCUAGCGGCGGGCUUAAUACAUGCAAGUCGAGGGGUGGUAGCAAUACUACACCGGCGCACGGGUGCGUAACGCGUAUGCAAUCUACCUUUAUCUGGGGGAUAGCCCCGGGGGAAAACCCGGAUUAAUACCGCAUAAGUAAGUAACUUGGCAUCAAGUAGCUUUGAAAGAUUUUAUCGGAUAAAGAUGAGCAUG
rnacentral:rRNA from 1 species